CUUCUCCUCAGCUGGUGGAGGAGGGGAGCCCUCGGAGAACAUGGUUUACCUCUCUGUGCAAGGAUGGAUGAUUCCUACAGACCCAUGUUCCUCAUUUCCAGGUAGCUCUGCCUCCUUUUUCCUAAGCUGCUGCUUUUAUGCAAAAGACUGAAGUCAUGUUCCAGAAGUGGGUUUCCAAUUGCCUGCUUUACAGCUCCACCCAGACAUUCUGCAGCAUCUCAGCUCAGCAUAUUCCGAAUCAGAUUUGUGAUUGUCUCCUCCAGCCUGUUACUGCUAUCAUUAUGAUCUGCCUCUGUGAACCUUCAUGUUUAAGUUUUCUCUAGUCUGAUCUGUUGUUAAGCCCCAUGACUCAUGUUGAAAUGUCCUUUCUCUCCUCUACUUCCACUAGCCAUGCUGUUGACUGCAUGCUAGUGCUUGACAAAUUCUUCCUUUGUGGCCCAAGCAGGCCUUGAACUCAGAAUCUCCCCUGCCUCUAUGUAGAGAUUUGGUUUGUUGCUAUGUAUUGUAAUGCUAAAUACUGGCCCUUGUUGCCUAGGGGACUAGAAGAUCCUCACAGUACAUCAACGUGAUACUAUGUAACCUUGCCCCUCAAGUUAUCCCUGAUUGGUCAAUAAAGAUGCAGACAGCCUAUAGCUGGGCAGAAGAGAGGCAGGUGAGGUUUCAGUUCCUGGGCUUGGGGUCUGAGGCAGGACCAUGAGAGGGAGGAAAGAAGGUGGAGAGAGGAGACACCAGGGGAUAGGUAAAUCAUGAAAACAUGGCCAUAAAGGCUAGCCAGUUCAAGUAAGAGCAGCCUAGGCAGAACGUGGCAAGUUAUAUCUCGGGGUCAUUGAUA
rnacentral:lncRNA from 1 species